GAUGAAGAACGUAGCGAAAUGCGACAAGUAAUGUGAAUUGCAGAAUUCAGUGAAUCAUCGAAUCUUUGAACGCACAUUGCGCCCCCUGGUAUUCCGGGGGGCAUGCCUGUUCGAGCGUCAUUUCACCACUCAAGCCUCGCUUGGUAUUGGGCAACGCGGUCCGCCGCGUGCCUCAAAUCGACCGGCUGGGUCUUCUGUCCCCUAAGCGUUGUGGAAACUAUUCGCUAAAGGGUGUUCGGGAGGCUACGCCGUAAAACAACCCCAUUUCUAAGGUUGACCUCGGAUCAGGUAGGGAUACCCGCUGAACUUAAGCAUAUCAAUAAGCGGAGGA
rnacentral:misc_RNA from 1 species